AGUACCUACUGAUUACAAUUACCUACUUUGUCAUAAAAGUAUUUAAUUACAGUAAUUGUUUACUUCAGAAAAUUUGUAUUCGAUUACUGAUUACUAUUGUAAUCGAUUACUUCCCAGCUCUGCCUUGAAGCAACAAUUUCCAAAAAAUACCUAUAAAAAUAAGAAGGAUCUGGAUAGCAUUGCGCACUCUGCGCAAUUUAAUUAUCAAUAACCUUUUUCUUGAUUGAGGCUAUAAGAUAGGGAAUGCAGAAAGAACGAACCAAAUAUCUUAAAAUCUGUAGGACGGAUAUAGUGGCCAUAAUACGCCUUCCAACGUAUUACCUAGUUGGUAAAAGUGCUAAAAAUAACAGUACUAAGUAUAGCUAAUAAUAUUUACGAGGACGAUGUAAAACUUCAUGUAAUGACUAAUGAGCGAUGAGCCCUACGCUAAUCGUAUCGAAACAUCACAUUAAUGCAGAGCGCGGCUCCAACAUAAAUCCACCCUUUAUAUACUUACCUACGUUGUUUGUUAUCUGGUUUACUUCCUUUGACACAUAUAAUUUCCCACCUUACCGUAAUAUACUUAUGUCACAGGAUAUAUCAUUUUAGCAUAUAUGUGACCACGUUGAUGAAUCCAAAAACCACGACACUAUGCUACCCACUUCAAAUUGCUGCAAAGACCAAAUAUUCUUCGAAUUGACACAGAGCAACUGUGCGGUUACACAUUUGGAGCAAGGUCGCUGAUCAACGCGCCCGCAUUGUCAGAAAAAUGCCAAAGAUGUGAGCACUGUCCACCAAAUUUCGUAUUCCAGAUUGUUUUUUUCCGAAGCAACUUCUACAAUAUGGAAAAUCACAAAUUUUCUGAUUUGGACGUGGUUUCCUUACCGCACCUUCCCCUGUAGAACUUCCAAGGAGAAAAGGAUGGCUCCCUAUAACAAUAAAAUAGCUAUUUUCAAAUGUAUAUAAAUUGUGACUGAAGGUGUCUUUGUUAAUAA